AAAAGUUUCAAUUACCCCUUUUGCAUAGGUUUUAUGGAUUGAAUUCAGUUGGAUUUGGCUGCACUAAAAUGGUCUCAUCCGAAAUCUUCAACUUGGUUUCCAGUGGAAUUCCACACAACCCUUUUACUCAUUCUGCUUAUCCUGUGCAUUUCUUGUUGUGCUUUUCCUUUGCAUUUCUGGUGUGCAUAUUAACCAUUUCAACCAACAUUAGCUUCUAUAUUGAUAUGCAUGGUGGAGCUUAUUGAUGCUGAUUUAUGAUUAUGGUUCAUUAAAUUCUCAAAGAUUCUAUUGGUAAUUGGCUUGAGUUAUACUUUGCACGUUUGUUUAAU
rnacentral:misc_RNA from 1 species